rnacentral:tRNA from 1 species
GGCGCGGUAGCCAAGUGGUAAGGCCGGGGUCUGCAAAACCCCUAUUCGCCGGUUCAAAUCCGGUCCGUGCCU